GAGUUGACAUGAAGGAUUUUGUGGGGCUGCAAUCUUCUCCUUCUGUGGGGGAUUUUGGCCCUUUCUGAGCAAGAGUCAGUGUUAAUAGGAUGUACUUCCUCUAUGUUCUGGGCUGUAGUUGGAUUGACCCUACUUGGUAAAAAUCACUUUUUGCAUUCUGCUGAAGUGUCUCUGGGAAUUGGUUGUCCUGUAAUCAACACAACUAAGAAAGGAUAUGAGUUUAAGGACCCUGUCACCAAGUGUGGGAUUCAGAAAGAGGUUCAGGUCCACAUCAGCUGUGAGACCCAGGAGCAGAAGAUGACUCGGCAGAGAAGCAGAAAAAAAGACACCAUUGGAUCAAAAGGAAAUGAGUUGCUCAUAUGCAUUGUAUGAAGGUCUUCCCAGGUGUGGGUUUCCAGGAGGAACCACCUAGCUUGACUGAGAAAACACAGCCCAAGGAAUCUUCUGCGUCUUCUAACCAAGAUUUUCAAGAGAAUGUAGAACACCUGAAGUUUAAUGUGAAUUUUAUUUUUGCUUUUUAAGGCUAGCUACUAACUAAAACAUUUAAAAAACUCAAUAAUAUCCCAGGCUAAGCAAAGUAAACCUGAGCAAGUCACCAGCAUGUGACGUCUGACAGUGGAAUUAAUAUAGCAAAAUGCCUGACACGUGGUCUUUGCUCAAUAUGUGUUACUUCUCUUCUGCACUGAAUUUUAAAACGGUUGUUUGCUGACUGCUUCGCAGCUGCUUUGAUUACUAACCCUUGAACCUACUACUCCCCCUUCAGGCACUUAGCUCCACUUUGGGAGAAUUCAUUGCCCUGAAGGUUCCAUUUCUCUGAGGAGCUCCAUGAUUUUAUGACCUUUCUUAAAAGAACAUAUAACACACAGUGUCAUGUAGAGGGCGAUUAAGGUAGCAAGCAUGAAGUCCACCUUCAGCUAUGCCGGAGAUGUGCAACAUGGCCGCCAGGGCUGAUACAACAAUAGCUUAAGUUACCCUCAGCCUU